GUCGCCGUAUUUCAAUGGAUAGAAUACGACCCUCCGAAGGUUGUGAUGUGGGUUCGAUUCCCGCCGGCGGCA
rnacentral:tRNA from 1 species